UAGUACAUGGAUUUAAGAUAAUGAGUUAUCAAACCCAAAAUGAUUGGAACUUUAAUCUCUUGCUAUGGUAAUAAUUAACUUAAGGAAAAGUGCCACAGUGCAAGAUUAAUUUUUUUUUUAGGAGCAAAAAGGAAAUUACAAAACGAAACCUCUAAUACAAUUAGACCUAAAAUAAUCAAAAUUAAACGAUGCGAGAACUAAAAGCGGGAGCUUCUUCUUCCAUGUCGUCAGGUUUGAUGUGGAAUGGCUAUAAUUAGCAAUUGCAUCUGUGACAAAGUUGUCUUCACGGGGGAUGUGAAUGAAAGAGACUUCUUCAAAUUGGUUGGCUAGGAAUCUGAUGUCCUUCCUGAGACGCCAAGGAGUGGUGCAUUUGUUGUUCAUAGCAUCCACGAUCAACUUUGAGUCCCCUUCAACAAUGAUUUUCUUGGAAUUGAGGACAGAAGAGAGACCAAUCGAUCUGGAGCCAGCAAAAAUGGGAUUUGUGUUGUGAUCUCUAAAUACAAAACCAGCGGUAACCUUUUUGUUGUCCAGAACUGAGCCAACGAAAUUUAUUUUGACAAUCCCUGGAGGCGGGGGGCUCCAUCUGAUCGUUCCAUACUGAACUGGGGCUUUGUGACUAUUUGCAGGAUUGUGGGAUAUGUAGUCAAUUUCCAAAGUGGCAGCAGCAUGAACAACCAUUUUUGGGGAAGUUGUUGUGACAAGAUGAAGAUCCUAGAAGGAGCCUAGAGGGAGGGGUGAAUAGGCUCACAACCAAUUUUUCCAUUCAAGCAUGUGGAAGUUGAUAGGCACUUUAUUAAGGAGAAGCUAGACCCGAAGUUGAUUGACUUUCCAUUUGUUCCAACUAAAGAGCAAUUAGCAGAUGUGUUGACUAAAGGAGUUUCCACCAAGGUGUUCCAUGACUUACUUGACAAGUUGGGCAUCCGUGACUUGUAUGCUCCAACUUGAGGGGGAGUGUUAGCGUGAGUCAAUGUAUCCUAUUUAGAAUAUUCUUAUUCUAUUAGGAAAGUACUUAUUGUAUGCAAUUAGGAAUGUAAUUAUCCCUAUAAUUGUAAUUAGCACUUACCUAGUUAGUAUAUGUAACCUUAGUAUAUAAAUACCUCCUUGUGAGAAGAAUAAAAUUAUCUCAUCAUUUUCUCAAAUACAUUCUUAUUCUCAAGUGCUCCAGAAGCGCGGAGAUGAUUGCAUCAACCAUUCUUGGCGUUGGCAAUUGGUUAUAAUUGAAAGGGAAAAAGAACAGAGAUGAAUAUGAAAUUGUUGGAUGUGUGCUCUCACCUCUCAUCCAAGUAUAUAGGGUCGAAAUUAGAUUAGGGACUAAGGAACAUGCCUCAAUUAUUAGUUCAGCAGAGCAUUUUGAAUAUUCCUCUUUAAUUGUAGAAGCAUAUAUGAAGAAACUAGAACCACAGGAUAUGAAAAGCAGCAUUCUUUACCGAAGGAAAGAAAGAAAGCUUAUGAUGGGUCCAUAUAUAUUGUUCUUCUCUGCACUCUUUACAGCUGCUCCAUUACCAACAGUGAACCUUGGAAUCCAACCAAGUGGCAGCUUCUCUUAAUCUCUCAUCUCUUAUCAUGGAAUCAAAUUCUUUACAUAUUAUCUCUGCUAUUAAGAUUCCAAAGUUCUGUAUGGAUUGAACUGUAGCUCAUUUAAUCUGGAAGAUCCUUUCAUUUAGCUCUUCUUUUCCAGGAAUUAGCUGCUGUUGGCUGCAGACAAGCCGAUAGGGUAGCGGAUUUCAUUGCUGCUUUGGCUUACAGGGGAAUGUGUCCGAUAGAUUGGGUAUCCGAUCCACCUUCCUCCUUUUCUGAGCUGAUGCUUCCCAUACUUUUUCCCCAGGAGCUUGUUCCUGUUGGUUUUGAUGGGGAAUCUUGUUUCUCAAAGCUUACUCACUCACAAGGCAAUCAGAUUCAUCAAUCAACUUGCUAUUGUCCUAGCCUUUUACAUUACAGCAAGAUAUGAAAUCGAACUUCAGAACUACCGUAGCAAGAUUUCGAAGAAAAUUUCCUAAAAACAACUCGUUCGUAGAGUCGAGAAGAGUACAUUUACGAAAGCUUACAAGCAUGGGUUUACAACUUUCUGCAUCGAUAUGCAUGUACUGUAACAUUUGAUAUAUUGCACCAAGGAAAUUGUUCA